AUCAUUUUUACUAACAUAAUGUGCAGUUUUAAAAAAAUUUUUCAAGUGUACGCACGUUUAGUUUGUAACAACAUUUACUAAUAUAGUCUCAACAUUUAUUAAUAUAGUUGUUUAUUCAACACAUUUUUUAAUAACGCCGAUUGGAAAAUAAAAAUAUAAAACGUUUAACAACUACAUCUGUUUCAUAUUUGAUGCAAAGCAACGGGCCUUCAAAAGAAAACUUUGGAAAUGAAAAUCGGAAUAUUGACAAUCUCCGUGGUAUGUGCGUAAUGAUGACGUUCAACGUAAUCUGAAAGUGUCCACAGCAUGUGAAGAAAUGUCGCCGUUUAGUGAUUCCCUUUGAACAGCAUCCACACGUUCAAUGUGAUCAAAGUGAUCAAUCUUUUAGACACUUAGUGUAAGAGCAAAUAUGCUUAAUACAUACUGCCGUGGUUAGGAAAAGACACUUCAUUUACAAUUAAUAGUAAUAUAAACGAAACUAAGAUUGUAGACGAAACUACCGUUUUAAAUUGUUUUUGAUAAAUUUAUUGUAGCUUUGCCAACCCGUCUGUUGUCUGUUUCAUCCAAAAUUUGUCUAUCAAUGAUUUUGUUUCGUAUUGAUUGAUGAAUCUUAAAUGUUUAUAUAUAUUUAUUAAUUUUAAUUUUGAUGUAAAUGGUUAACAGUUCGAUGUAAAAUGCAUUCUUGCAUACUGGUACCUGUCAUGCUAUCCUCUGACAAACGUACAUCAUCGUAUACAAUCAGCCUUUAUGGCAUACAUAAUAUACGAGGAGUGUUAAUGUCAUAGUUUCAGGACCUCUAACGAUGUACAAUUUGGCUACGAGUGAUACAAAUCAGCGCAUUGCUGUGGUCAGGUCCGGGAUCUUAAAACUGAUUUUAACAAUUUUGCAUAAAAUUAUUGACAGUUAAUAAUAAUAUAAACGAAAUUAAGAUUGUUCAAUAAUAGAAAUAAGAAAUUUGAUAACAAUUAAUGUUUUACCAGGUGUUCGCCGAAACUACCUUUUUAAAUUGUUUUUGAUAAAUUUAUUAUGGCUUUGCCAAUCCGUCUGUUGUCUGU